GAGUUUUGAGAUAGAGAUUAGAGCUUAAGGAAAUAACGUAUCUGGGGGUCCCUUUUUAUAGGCGGAGGGUGUAACAGAUUGACAGCGAUGUCUGUAGUCACCUGGUAGUGGGCCGUUUGGGGCCAUGAGGAGUUUGUUACAGAGAGUAGUGGAGUGGAGUCGUGGCCAUCACCAUGGCCUGCCACGUGGAACCUGUUGUGGAGAGUGGGGUGAUGUCCGUUGUCGUGACUCGCCAGAGCAUGAUGGAGCCACGUGGGAUCUGUUACAGGAGGUGGAGCAGAGUCGUGGCCAUUACUGUGGCCUGGCAGGGAGUCCAGGCUUGUCGGUCGAAGCUCGAUUGGGGUGUCUGGUGGAGAGAGAUGGUUCUCCAUCUAAGAGGAGCUUGGACGUUGCUGGCGAGCCUUCUACCGUUGGGUGCCUUGGGCACUGGUGUUGCAGGUGAAGGUCAUCUGCUGUAGAAGCUCGGUCAGGGGCUUUCUGUGGAUGAAGUUCGGUUUCAUGUAGAAUCCGGUGGAAGGUCGACCGACAGCGGAUGUCGGAUGGCGCUGGAGAGGUUCGCCCGCUAGAGGGGUCCGACUGCUGGAGUCCGUGUGUCGUAGGGGUUCCUCCUGAAUCUAUCCGCUACAGAAGUUCAAUCGGAGUCUGAUUCCCGUAGAAGUUCGGAUGGGGCUCAUUUGUAGAGGAAGCUCGAUCGAAGCCUGCCUGCAAUAGAAGUUCGGAGGAAAUUCAUUCACAAUAGAAGCUCGGGUGGAGGCUUACAGUAGAAAUCUGUCGUGGAUCGCCUGUAGUAGAAAUUCAAAGUAGACCGCUUAUUGUGGUAGCUCAGAGUAGACCGCUUGUGGUGGGGGCUCGGAGUCUGACCCUUGUCAGAAUUCGGAUGAGGCCUACCUGCA
rnacentral:lncRNA from 1 species